CAGUCGCCGCGGUAAUACGGAGGGUGCAAGCGUUAAUCGGAAUUACUGGGCGUAAAGCGCACGCAGGCGGUCUGUCAAGUCAGAUGUGAAAUCCCCGGGCUUAACCUGGGAACUGCGCUUGUGACUGCACAGCUAGAGUAUGGCAGAGGGGGGUGGAAUUCCACGUGUAGCAGUGAAAUGCGUAGAGAUCGGAAGGAACAUCUGUGGCGAAGGCGACUAUCUGGGCCAACACUGACACUGAGGCACGAAAGCGUGGGGAGCAAACAGGAUUAGAUACCCGCGUAGUCCCUGUCUCUUAUAC
rnacentral:rRNA from 1 species